CCACCUGGGCACAGCCUGGCUCAUGUUCAGCUGCUGUCAACAAACAUCUUCUGUCACUGGUUCACAUUGCAUCUGUGUGAGGAAGUUGUCUUCCACACACUCCAGAAACUUCCUCAGCUAUUUCCUCCCCACUAUGCUGAAUUUCCAGUGACAUGUGCUAAGUUUAAGUUCCCCACAAAGGUCAGUGAUUGUGACAUUUCUUGUGGGUGUUUAUAGAAUAUUUCAUCUGCCUCUUCAAGUAAUUGUCUAAUUCACCGCUCAAAUUUAGAGUAAAUCUUAGUCAAAAUAGUCUGAUUGCAAAUGUAGUGUAACACUAACACUGUAACCAACUUUUCAGAAGCAUGGGGUUCCCUUGGAAAGGAAUUUUUAAGAACGCAUCAGGCAAACAUCUGGGACACAUCAUGCAGUCCGUGAUGUAAUCCUGCUUCUCUGACCUGUGGGAAUAACCCGCUGAUAUUUUUUCUAGUUCCCCUUUUCUCAAAUGUGUUGGUUCUAAAAGUGUAGGCAAGAAACAAGUGUAGAAAGGAAAGAAAGAAAGAAAGCGGGACUACAACAUAGCUCUUUAUCUCCAUGCCUUGGCUCUGUGUAUGAAACUUUCAGUUCUGUGAGAAUUAUGGUAAAAUCCCCCAAGUCCAAAAUAUUCUGCAUGGCAUCUUGUGACCCUUAACUUGGACCUCAAACAUAGCAAAGGCUACUGAAUAUUCCUUUUGGGUUUCUCACUGAGCUCCACCAUUUGUGAAUGAUUAAGCUCAUAUAUUAGAAAUAUGUCCAGACGAUCUCUAAACCACUUUUGUUUCUUUUUCUAGCAAAACAAAAAGAUUCCACUACAUUGUUUUCUGUGCUUCUUGAAAGGUUAAUUGUCUUAAUGGUCGGAAAUCUGCAUAUUAUUCCUGUAUAUCCAGCUUUAUCUGACCUCUACUCAACCUCAUUAAGGUUGCUUCUGCCAGCAGAUGUUACUCGUAUUUAGACACUUAAAGAAGGUCAGGUUACCACAUGGCCUGCUGAUCAAUAAGCUGAAUAAAACUGGUGCAACUCUUCUAUCAUGGUAGGACUGUUUCUCUAUUUCUCUAAAGACUCUCAGUGUUCAUAUGUGACCACCAAAGUUUGAUACACAUAUGUGCAUAAAGCCACAACCACAAAAAUAUAACAAGCAAAAUAGGCUGGUGUGUGACAUAUAUAGGCACUUACACUUGGAUGUUCCAUAACCACAAACUAGAAUGUAAAAGCAAAAUACCCAAUCUAAGUAGCUCACUAAUACAAUCUUACCAACCACAUAAAUAGUCUCUUGCUGUCUUUCUCUUGCACACACACACAUAUACAUUCAUUUUGGUUACAGACACCAGGUUGAAAUGGGUGCUUCUCCCUAGUCACACUACACUGAAGACAAAUAUGAACAUUAAGUAGUCCAAUUUACAGACUUGAUGACUGUUUGCUCCUGCAGGUAAGGAAAGAGUGGGUAUUUGUGUUUGCUGAAAAUAAAACUACUAAAGUUUAUCAGCAUUAGUUUCAGAGGUGAACUUUAAAGACACUGAAGCUUUCAGUGUCCUUUCAGUAUGGUCCUAACAGUAACAGUCCUAACCAGUCUGUUUUACUGUGAGGCUGUUUUUCUCUUAUACAUUCAGAUACUCAAACCAAAAGCUUUCCUGUCCUUGUCAACAAAUCCUAACCCAGAAGAACCCCUUUAAUAAGGAUCACAAGGCACUUUAGUGUCUUUGCUGAUUAAGACUCUGGACAGAAGGUGAGGUGACUAACUAAGGCUGUUGCUGGGGCUAAUUUUCCUGCUGACACUUGUCCACUCUCUAGGAAAUUAAAUGAGACCACCACAGCAUUUUAGGAAGUCUGAUAAGAAGCUAUUAGACAACCAUGCCUUUCUGUAUCUAGGAUCAGCCUUUGCCAGAUUUGAGCUAAUUAUCUAGAGUCAGACUUGGGCAACUACUUUAUUUGGAAUGGCUUUGUCAUGCUGUCAGUGGGCUUUUUUGACACUGGUCCCUGGUUUCUCAUCUGAGUUAACUAGUUGUAACUGACUGGCAGAUAAUCUGCAAGCAUAUUAAAUGAAAGGAAAAAUCUUGUAUGUAUUAUUAAUGCAAUAAGUUUCUUCUCUUUUACUGGAUAAAUACAACUUUUAGAAUCAAUUCCUGAUUCUAGAAACACACUCAGCUGUGUACUCAGAUUUGGCUUUGCUCACAUAUUCUGUAGAUGUAGCCUAGGCAUUCUUUGCUCUGGCGAACAUUUACUAGAGUUGAUGUAUUCAUUAGAAUAUUUGUAUGAAGCAAACAUAAGUGAGAUGGAGCUGAAGGAAAGAGAAUUUACUUCAGAAAUGCAGGGACGGCACCACCACAGGAGUCUUUCUGUCUACAGCUAUGUAUUAUUUCCAAAACUUCUACAAAAGAUACUGAAUCCUUCUACUGAACCUUCAGUCACUUCCACAAAACAAAGUUCUUAACUGUUGACUUCACCCCCAGUGUCAGGUCCAAGUAUUGAGUAUUAGUCAUGAAGUACUAGUUACACAGAAAAUUUGGGCAUGCCUCAAACUGUCAAGUCUACUUGUGCAAACUCAAUAUUUAUAUUAAUUGAGGUGAGAAGUGAUUCACAAUCAGACAACUGCUGUUUUCUUUGUUUGGAUCUGAUUGGCAGCACUAGAUUAUGCUGUGCAGUAACUGUCAAGGCGAGAUAGGACAUGUAUCAGCCCUUCAUCUUUGAAAUGUUUGAUGAGAGCUUUCAUGCUAUAAACAUGUUUCAUGCUGCUCUAGAUGAAUUUUUUUUAAUUAAAAAGUAGCACUAAAUGGAUGUAAAAGCUUUUAUUUUCUGAAAAAAUAAGAUUACCAAUUAAUUUAACAGUAUUAAUAGAAAAAUGCCUGAGACCUACAUUUCCUUGAACUUCUGCUGCUUGAAUCCAGGGACUGAGAUUCCUUCGAUCUCUCUGUAAUAUAGCAAGUGCAACUACAAUGUCCAAAAAACAAAGAUCUUCAAUUUAAAUCAAUAACACACUUGAGUCUUGAUAAGCCACAUGCACCAUGUAUUGUAGAAGAAACAAGGCUAGCUAGGUAUGAGUCACAAAGUAGAAAGUUUGGUAAUUAUUUACAGUGUGUUCAUAGAAAUUACUAUAAAAGGAUAGGCAUGACAUGAGGAAAAACUGAGCCUGAAGCCUUUUUUCCGUUUACAUUCAUUUGAAUCAGCCUGGAAUCAAUAGAAUUCUGUCCAAAAGGACAGGGUGUGCUAUGUCAGGUGGUAAUUACACCUUGGUGCUGUUCAUACUAUUUAUACAUUCAUUUAUUAUACCUUUAGGUAUAAUCUGCCAAGAAACUUCAAAUCACAGUAUACCUGGUAAUCUCUUCAUUCACAGUAAAACAGCUCAGAAGAUGAUCAUUAAUUGUGAAAGAGUUGCUGAACAAUCACUGCUUGCUUGCUUGCUGUUUGAGGGAUUAUUAAUAUAUUACAUCCUUUAUAAGUGAAAGUGAACUCUUAAUUGUAUGGAAUAGGAGAGUCAGAGAUCAGACUUUUAAUGAUGCAGUAAGAAAAAUAUCAAGAAGUCAAUAUUUUAUGACUGUCAAGCCCUUUACUUCAUUAGGUUUCUUUUAAAAUUUUUUUUUGUUGUUUUUCCCCUAAGUAACAGGACUGUUAUCACAUCUAGGCUGGGACCUUCACCUUUGGAAAAAAAAAAAAUAAAAAGAAAUACAGGCUUGCAGUAAAAGACCACAUUCAAGGAAUAUAAUUUAUCAGUGGAAGAAAAAAAAGCAAGUUCAAGAGUGCCACUUAUGACCUAGGUAUCUCACUCAACCACAGGAUCAGCGUCUACCCACUCAGCAAACUUAGCUUGAAUUUUACUCCAAUGUUUCACGUUAUAGAUGGCAGCAGGCUGAUGCUAGAUGUUACUCUAUCCAAGCUAGGUAGUUCAUCCUCUGUCUAAAAUCAAUCUUCAUGUUUCUAAAAGGUUUCUAGUAUUUCUAGUUUCUGCUUUACAUAAUUUGCUUUUCUGUACCUGAUAAGAUUUUCAAGUAAAUCAUUGAAACCUAGGUCAAAAGAACAAAGAUCUUAGACUCAUAUAAUGUGUCAUUUAGUAAGAGAUGACUUGCUGGGAAAAAAACAGACACAAAAACUAAGUGAAGCAAAGGAUAAUUCAUGUUUUCUCUCAAGCGUGUCAGUGGGACCAACCAAAAUAAAUCCAACAAAUUCCUGAUAUCUUUAAUAAAUUUCCUUCUUACUCUGCAGUCAAAAACAUUUACGGAAUGAGUGGCUACUGUGAAUGAAUUGUCCCCAAGGAAACAGAUGGAUCAGAAAAUGGCACUAUCCAUUGCCAGAGCAUUCAUGGGCGUGUUAAGGGUGGGGUUGGUCCAGCAGAGAGAAGAUAAAAGUCCUGUUUGCUUUUGUUUCUAAGGGAACCUCCACUCAUGUGUGUCAUCACGUACUUUUGCACAAGGCUUUAAGAAUUCGUGCCUCAAGGCUAAGGGACAAAUAUUGUUGUCUCAAGUUGCAGAUAUGAGAGGGAUAGUGCAUUUAAGCAUGUAAUGGUCAGUGCAUGCAGUAUUGCUGUGCUUUACACCCCAGUACUCUUAAAACCAGACAAGCAAGAAAGAUGGAUGCUAAGAGAAGUUAAUAACAAGUUCACCUGGAAAGAAAUUGUCUGAAAGUGUUUGUGCUGUUAUCAAGUUGUCUUUACAGUCAUGUGUUUUGCACAGAGAGAGAGGCUUAUUCAGCAGAGAACCAGAGGAGCUUGAUAUCUUGCUUGGUAUCUUGAAAAAUAAGACAAAACUGAUGUGUUUUCAAAGCACACAUCAGCUUCCAUAUGUAACUCAGUGAAUCUUCUUGGUUUUUUUACUUUGGAAGAAUUAAUCAUUUUUGCAUUUGUGAAAUCUCAGUUCUUAUCAGAGUAGCGUUUCCCAUAAUGUACUUUACUUGAUCUUACUAAUUCACUUAGCCAUCCCAACUGCUUUGCUGUUGUUGCCCAGCUGCACAGACUGCUGUUACAGAAAACAUCAGGGUUCUGUGAGCCAACUUACUCUUUUUUUAAAACUUUAUUUGAAUAAAAUUCCCAAAGACUUCUU